rnacentral:lncRNA from 1 species
AGUGGGACCCGACCCUGUCUCCAGUGGGCGUCUUGGGCCCCGGCUCUAUUCUGGGCUGCGGGCCUGGGAAGGGCUCGCCGGGUGCCAAAUGAGCUGUCCUAACUCUGCGGGGCUGCAGCUUCCUGCAUGAUGCUGGGGAGCUUGGCGCCUGACCCAGGAUCUAGAAGGCACUCUGGGCAGGCCGCGCUCCGCCCACGAAGGUACCCAACCCUCUGGGAUAGAUGCAGGAAGCGAUGGUUAAGACCCAUUUUCACCCAACUUCUCGCCGCAGGUCUGGCUUACCACACGCUCCUCCCCAUUCCCAGUGAGCCGCUUUUUGCAGCACCAGGCGAACACUUACACCAGUGCUUUGUAAAGGAAUCUUAUUGUCCACCCCGUGUCUUGGCAAAAGAACAGUGAUCACACAGAUUCCUACUUGGGCUCUUUCCUUUAAUCUUCGGAGGCUGAGUUUGCCCAACUCAGGUUUAACCACCAAGGACUCUGAGAGCUGGCAGGUCUGAGUAACCCUGGUAACAAUUCUCUUCACCUUAUCAAAACCUGAGCUAAAACCAAUGCAUCAGCUGAUGAUGACAGCAGAGAGUGGCAGGGCUGAGGACCCAAAGUCAUUUCCCAGGCUGGCGGAGAAUAAACUGCCAGGGAGAAGAAUGAGAAGACAGGAGACAAACUGUUUGGAAAGCUAAAUCUUCCCUCUUAAUGAAUAAAGGUUUUUGCCUUGUCUUAAAGUUUCUGAGUCCUAAUUUUGGCAAAAUAAAUAACUUAUGGUAAUCUGGAAUUGUAUUUUGUAAUAUUAAGUGUUUUGAACCUCUAACAUUUACUUCCCAAAAUCAAACUUCAGUUUCAAAAU